rnacentral:pre_miRNA from 1 species
AAUAAGUGCAGUUUUAACAUUGUUUAUGCUCAACGUUUAAUCGUUCGUCUUAUUUGAAAAACAAUUAUGAUUAGUAUUUUUAUUGUUAUUAGAUGAUAAUACAUGAAUAGUACUUUAUGUGUGUAUUUUUAAUUUUUUUAAUAUUUUUAAUUUUUUUUAUAAAAUUUUUAAAUAAGACAAGACGGUCAAAACACUAGACAUGGAUAUCUAUGGCUGCAUUUAUU